rnacentral:pre_miRNA from 1 species
CAAGUACUCCCUCCAUCCAAAAAUACUUGUCAUCAAAAUGGAUAAAAAAGAUGUAUCUAGAACUAAUAUACAUCUAGAUACAUCCCCUUUUAUUCAUUUUGAUGACAAGUAUUUCCGUACGGAGGGAGUACUAC